UACGAAGGGGACUAGCGUUGUUCGGAAUUACUGGGCGUAAAGCGCACGUAGGCGGAUUUGUUAGUCAGGGGUGAAAUCCCGGGGCUCAACCUCGGAACUGCCUUUGAUACUGCAAGUCUCGAGUCCGAUAGAGGUGGGUGGAAUUCCUGGUGUAGAGGUGAAAUUCGUAGAUAUUAGGAAGAACACCGGUGGCGAAGGCGGCCCACUGGAUCGGUACUGACGCUGAGGUGCGAAAGCGUGGGGAGCAAACAGG
rnacentral:rRNA from 1 species